ensembl:lncRNA
AUGGGACAGACCCAGAACACAUCUGGUACUGAGGGGGGGGGGUUAUCUAUCCUGUCUGGAUGGGACAGACCCAGAACACAUCUGGUACUGAGGGGGUUAUCUAUCCUGUCUGGAUGGGACAGACCCAGAACACAUCUGGUACUGAGGGGGGUUAUCUAUCCUGUCUGGAUGGGACAGACCCAGAACACAUCUGGUACUGAGGGGGUUAUCUAUCCUGUCUGGAUGGGACAGACCCAGAACACAUCUGUUACUGAGGGGGGGUCAUCUAUCUUACGCUGUAGCCUACCUUCUGAGGUCUACCUCUGUUUCACCUGUAUUCUCUCUGCCUCCAUCUCCCCCCGAGGGAAACUUCUCCAUCUUCCCCCCCGAGGGAAACUUCUCCUCCAUCUUCCCCCCCGAGGGAAACUUCUCCUCCAUCUUCCCCCCCGAGGGAAACUUCUCCUCCAUCUUCCCCCCCGAGGGAAACUUCUCCUCCAUCUCCCCCCCGAGGGAAACUUCUCCUCCAUCUUCCCCCCCCCCCGAGGGAAACUUCUCCUCCAUCUUCCCCCCCCCCCCCGAGGGAAACUUCUCCUCCAUCUUCCCCCCCCCCCGAGGGAAACUUCUCCUCCAUCUUCCCCCCCCCCCCGAGGGAAACUUCUCCUCCAUCUUCCCCCCCCCCCCGAGGGAAACUUCUCCUCCAUCUCCCCCCCGAGGGAAACUUCUCCUCCAUCUCCCCCCCGAGGGAAACUUCUCCUCCAUCUCCCCCCCCGAGGGAAACUUCUCCUCCAUCUCCCCCCCGAGGGAAACUUCUCCUCCAUCUCCCCCCCGAGGGAAACUUCUCCUCCAUCUCCCCCCCGAGGGAAACUUCUCCUCCAUCUCCCCCCCCGAGGGAAACUUCUCCUCCGUCUCCCCCCCGAGGGAAACUUCUCCUCCGUCUCCCCCCCCCCGAGGGAAACUUCUCCUCCGUCUCCCCCCCCCCGAGGGAAACUUCUCCUCCGUCUCCCCCCCGAGGGAAACUUCUCCAUCUCCCCCCCCCCCGAGGGAAACUUCUCCAUCUCCCCCCCCCCCGAGGGAAACUUCUCCAUCUCUCCCCCCGAGGGAAACUUCUCCUCCAUCUCCCCCCGAGGGAAACUUCUCCACAGAGGACUAGUUAUUGUACCUGAUCAGUUCUUCGAAUCAUUUAGUUGUUUUUUUUGCAAAGUGUUUUAAUAUUUUUGUACCACAUAGUGUAUAUUACCGUAUUUAUAAGCUAUAAAGAAAAACAUUGUAUAUCUAUCUAUUCAUUGAAUUCUUGCAGUACUUUGUCAUUCCGUCUUUCAAUAUAUGCCUCAUUUUAUUUUUCUACGAUGUGUCGGACAGUCCAAACGCAUGGCGACAAUCUUAGACAAUAUCAACAAUCCUUUCGUAAUGUCCUGUCUGUCUCGUUCUCUGUCCCGUUCUCUGUCCCGUUCUCUGUCCCGUUCUCUGUCUCGUUCUCUGUCCCGUUCUCUGUCUCGUUCUCUGUCCCGUUCUCUGUCCCGUUCUCUGUCCCGUUCUCUGUCUCGUUCUCUGUCCCGUUCUCUGUCUCGUUCUCUGUCUCGUUCUCUGUCUCGUUCUCUGUCUCGUUCUCUGUCUCGUUCUCUGUCUCGUUCUCUGUCUCGUUCUCUGUCCCGUUCUCUGUCUCGUUCUCUGUCCCGUCUCUGUUUCGUUCUCUGUCCCGUCUCUGUCCUGUCUGUCUGUCUCUGUCCUGUCUGUCUCUGUCCUGUCUGUCUCUGUCCUGUCUGUCUCCUCUGUCUCUGUCCUGUCUGUCUCCUCUGUCUCUGUCCUGUCUGUCUCCUCUGUCUCUGUCCUGUCUGUCUGUCUCUGUCCUGUCCGUCUCUGUCCUGUCUGUCUCUGUCCCGUCUCAAACUGAAAGACUGUUGGGGGAAAAGGGAUCCUUGUUUAAACUGGGUUGGUUUUUUCUCUCCCUGUUUAUCCAAUCAGGGCUGUGGGACAUUUCAGACUGAAACUGAGGACGAGAUAAAGCUGUCAUCCUCUCAGAACAUUCACACAUACCUCAAAACGUCCGUCUUCAGAACAUUCACACAUACCUCAAAACGUCCAUCUUUGUCUUUCUGUUGUCCAAUGGGCAGGCCAACUUUCAAUAUAGACUGGAAGGACAUUACUGGGUCCUGGUUCUCUCGAUCUUCUCUGCUACUACUGUUACAGCUAUGUAUCUUGAUCAAAAUGGCCGUCUUCUGUCCAGACCCAGACACACUAAGUCCAAUCCUUGCUGAGCCCCUGUUCCUGUCUGUCUCUAGCUGAGACAGUCUCCUGUCUGUCCCCUGCCCCGGUCUGUCUCUAGCUGAGAGUCUCCUGUCUGUCCCCUGUCUGUUUUUAGAUACAACCAGCAUUGUUGGAAAUGUGGUCAUUCUCUAAGUGCACUUUACAGUUCUGAUCGUACUUCCUGGUACAGACAACAUGAUACACACAGCUCAGAUGGAUUGGAGGAGGAAUGUGUUUGUGUGGUCUGGACGUUUGAACGAGCGACGUAGUGAGUAAGGUUGGUGCUGCAGUUCAUACAUCUGGAUAUAACGGAGAGAGAGGGAGGAUAUGUUGUCAAAGGUUCCUGAUGUACACAUGGUGGUUGUAGAGAGGGAGGAUAUGAUGUCAGAGGUUCCUGAGGUACACAUGGUGGUUGUAGAGAGGGAGGAUAUGUCGUCAGAGGUUCCUGAUGUACACAUGGUGGUUGUAGAGAGGGAGGAUAUGAUGUCAGAGGUUCCUGAUGUACACAUGGUGGUUGUAGAGAGGGAGGAUAUGAUGUCAGAGGUUCCUGAUGUACACAUGGUGGUUGUAGAGAGGGAGGAUAUGAUGUCAGAGAUUCCUGAUGUACACAUGGUGGUUGUAGAGAGGGAGGAUAUGAUGUCAGAGGUUCCUGAUGUACACAUGGUGGUUGUAGAGGGAGGAUAUGAUGUCAGAGGUUCCUGAUGUACACAUGGUGGUUGUGGAGAGGGAGGAUAUGAUGUCAGAGGUUCCUGAUGUACACAUGGUGGUUGUAGAGAGGGAGGAUAUGAUGUCAGAGGCCUGUUCUGGGACUUUACAUUGAUAACAGAGGUCUUCUGGUCUACCAGCAUCGGUCUCUGAUGGUAGAGAUGUCUGGGUCGGCCUGUCCUGGGACUUUACAUUGAUAACAGAGGUCUUCUGGUCUACCAGCAUCGGUCUCUGAUAGUAGAGAUGUCUGGGUCGGCCUGUCCUGGGACUUUACAUUGAUAACAGAGGUCUUCUGGUCUACCAGCAUCGGUCUCUGAUGGUAGAGAUGUCUGGGUCGGCCUGUCCUGAGACUUUACAUUGAUAACAUAGGUCUUCUGGUCUACCAGCAUCGGUCUCUGAUAGUAGAGAUGUCUGGGUCGGCCUGUCCUGGGACUUUACAUUGAUAACAGAGGUCUUCUGGUCUACCAGCAUCGGUCUCUGAUGGUAGCUGCUUUUCCAAAAUGUCUGUUGAGUGGACGACUGUUGGUGAGAGAAGGGAAGUGGAGUAGCUUGAUUUAACACUUGUGUUGGUUAGAAGGUUAAAACAAGUUGCUGUUCUGACGUUAGAUGCUUGUUGUUAUCGAUGCUGUCCCAAAUGGCACCCUAUUCCCCAUAUAGAGCACUACUGUUGACCAGGGCCCUAUAGCUCCCUAUUCCCAGGGCCCUAUUCCUUAUAUAGUCCACUACAUUUGACCAGGGCCCUAUAGCACCCUAUUCCCUAUAUAGCCCACUACAUUUGACCAGGGCCCUAAAGGAGUGCAGGAUACAGGGAAUAGGGUGCCAUUUGGGGCCCUUUUUGUCUCCAUGUUUCUGGAGCUCUGACAUAAAGAUGAGGAACACAGCAGAGGUUUAUUGGCAGUUUGAACAUUUUAUCAUUCAUCCAUUUUGAUACCCAUGGUGCUUUGCAAGGAUGUAUACAGCUCAACCAACAUUUGGUUAGUCAGAAUGAUUAUUUUCAUUUCCACUCAACUCUACUUCUUCUCCGUUGAUUUGCUUUCCAUGUAAACCAGGGUGUAAUGGAUGUGUACAGCCCAUUCAAUACUACAAGAAGCUGUUGGAACAAAAUUAAAUGUGGAUUUUUGUUUUGUUUUUUAAAUAAAAUGAAUGAACUUUCAUCUUGAACGUUGUCCAUUCACAUUUUGUUCUGUCCAUUACCACUCAACCAUUCCCUCUAAUCUUUGGCCAUUCUCUACCUCUCUACCACCCUCUCUCUACCUCUCUACCGCCCUCUCUCUCUCUCUCUCUCUCUGCCUCUCUACCGCCCUCUCUCUCUCUCUCUCUCUGCCUCUCUACCGCCCUCUCUCUCUCUCUCUCUCUCUCUACCUCUCUACCGCCCUCUCUCUCUCUCUCUCUACCUCUCUACCGCCCUCUCUCUCUCUCUCUACCUCUCUACCGCCCUCUCUCUCUCUCUCUCUACCUCUCUACCACCCUCUCUCUCUCUCUCUCUCUCUCUCUCUCUCUCUCUACCUCUCUACCGCCCUCUCUCUCUCUCUACCGCUCUCUCUCUACCGCUCUCUCUCUACCGCUCUCUCUCUACCGCUCUCUCUACCGCUCUCUCUACCGCUCUCUCUCUACCGCUCUCUCUCUACCUCUCUACCGCCCUCUCUCUACCGCUCUCUCUACCGCUCUCUCUCUACCGCUCUCUCUACCGC